rnacentral:rRNA from 1 species
CGCGUAGGCGGUCUUGUCGGUCAGAUGUGAAAGCCCAGGGCUCAACCCUGGACGUGCAUUUGAAACAGCAAGACUUGAGUACGGGGGAGGAAAGCGGAAUUCCUGGUGUAGAGGUGAAAUUCGUAGAUAUCAGGAGGAACACCGAUGGCGAAGGCAGCUUUCUGGACCGAUACUGACGCUGAGGCGCGAAGGCGUGGGUAGCGAACAGGAUUAGAUACCCUGGUAGUCC